rnacentral:rRNA from 1 species
GGACCAGACUCCUACGGGAGGCAGCAGUGAGGAAUAUUGGUCAAUGGCCGAGAGGCUGAACCAGCCAAGUCGCGUGAGGGAUGACGGCCCUACGGGUUGUAAACCUCUUUUGUCGGGGAGCAAAGAGAGUCACGUGUGGCUCAUUGAGAGUACCCGAAGAAAAAGCAUCGGCUAACUCCGUGCCAGCAGCCGCGGUAAUACGUAGGGAGCAAGCGUUGUCCGGAUUUACUGGGUGUAAAGGGUGCGUAGGCUGCUUUGCAAGUCAGAAGUGCAAUCCAUGGGCUUAACCCAUGAACUGCUUUUGAAACUGCAGAGCUUGAGUGGAGUAGAGGUAGGCGGAAUUCCCGGUGUAGCGGUGAAAUGCGUAGAGAUCGGGAGGAACACCAGUGGCGAAGGCGGCCUGCUGGGCUCUAACUGACGCUGAGGCACGAAAGCGUGGGUAGCAAACAGGAUUAGAUACCCUCGUA